GAUGAACGCUGGCGGCGUGCUUAACACAUGCAAGUCGAACGAAACACCUUAUUUGAUUUUCUUCGGAACUGAAGAUUUGGUGAUUGAGUGGCGGACGGGUGAGUAACGCGUGGGUAACCUGCCCUGUACAGGGGGAUAACAGUCAGAAAUGACUGCUAAUACCGCAUAAGACCACAGCACCGCAUGGUGCAGGGGUAAAAACUCCGGUGGUACAGGAUGGACCCGCGUCUGAUUAGCUGGUUGGUGAGGUAACGGCUCACCAAGGCGACGAUCAGUAGCCGGCUUGAGAGAGUGAACGGCCACAUUGGGACUGAGACACGGCCCAAACUCCUACGGGAGGCAGCAGUGGGGAAUAUUGCACAAUGGGGGAAACCCUGAUGCAGCGACGCCGCGUGAGUGAAGAAGUAUCUCGGUAUAUAAAGCUCUAUCAGCAGGGAAGAAAAUGACGGUACCUGACUAAGAAGCCCCGGCUAACUACGUGCCAGCAGCCGCGGUAAUACGUAGGGGGCAAGCGUUAUCCGGAAUUACUGGGUGUAAAGGGUGCGUAGGUGGUAUGGCAAGUCAGAAGUGAAAACCCAGGGCUUAACUCUGGGACUGCUUUUGAAACUGUCAGACUAGAGUGCAGGAGAGGUAAGCGGAAUUCCUAGUGUAGCGGUGAAAUGCGUAGAUAUUAGGAGGAACAUCAGUGGCGAAGGCGGCUUACUGGACUGAAACUGACACUGAGGCACGAAAGCGUGGGGAGCAAACAGGAUUAGAUACCCUGGUAGUCCACGCCGUAAACGAU
rnacentral:rRNA from 1 species